ensembl:lncRNA
UUUUUCUUUUUUUUUUUUUUUUUGUCUUUCUGCCUUUUCUAGGGCUGCACCCUUGGCAUAUGGAGGUUCCCAGGCUAGGGGUCAAAUUGGAGCUGCAGCCACCAGCCUACGCCAGGGCCACAGCCACACGGGAUCUAAGCCACGUCUGUGACCUACAUCACAGCUCACAGCAACGCCGGAUCCUUAACCCGCUGGCAAGGCCAGGGAUUGAACCCACAACCUCAUGGUUCCCAGUUAGAUUCAUUAACCACUGUGCCACAAUGGGAACUCCUGUCCCUUCCUUAUGUAGGUAUUUUAAAUUUUUGAGAAGCCCCAUCUUGCGAUAUCUCCAGGCUUGGAAAAGGAAUUGGUGUUUCCUUGAACCAGAGAUUGACAUGAUUAAAGAUACAGAGUCUGAAUCAGGUAGAGGAAAGAGGUGGUCCAGCAGGAGUGAAGUCACACAGUGCUGGGUGGUGCUGUCCACACCUACCCAGCUCUUCCCCAGUGGCUGCUUUUCUGACUCUUUUGUGCUCUCUCCCGAGGUGGCCUUUCUGUCUGCAGUGGAGUCUGUUGUUGGUCAUCACCUCUUAUAUUUCCUGUUUUCCAGGAAGCCCUGCACCACACGGGAUAAAAGAACAGGCCCUCCCUUCCCCCACCUCUCAGCCCUGUCCCCCCACCCCCCACCCCACCCCCGGAUGUCCACAUCUCCGAGGGCAUCCAGACGCUUAUGUUUGCCUGUCAGUUCGCUCGGGUAAUUCAAGACAAGGGAUGACAUAUAACAUUUGAAAUGUCAUAUGAAAAAAUCUGUGUAAUUUGGUGAAGGAAAUUCGUGUCUGCUUAUAAGGAAGUACAGAAUUUCAAGUACCUUAGACUCAUCCGUGGGUGAAUCAGGUUCUACCUGUAGUAGCAACUCUGUCUUCUUUCCACUUUGCUCUUCCCACUGCCUUGCAGUUGGCCCUGGCUCGUACUUAACCAUGGUCUAGAAAUAAGAGUGGGUAAAGCAGUGCCUUGGGGAGGUUAAGUGUACAGACCUCAACUCAGAGGGAACCAAACAUGUUGUUUAGGAAGGAGUUAACUGAUGAGGAAGGAGUUAACUAAUGAGAAGAUGCUGUUAAUACUAGAAUCCAAGUUUCUUUCUCGAGGCUGAGACUUAACCAGGCAUUUAGAAUAAGACAGGUAGAAAAAUAUAUGAGAACAAAUUGUAAGAGUGAUCAGGCCUAUGCCUGAUCUCUGUAGCACCGAGCAAAAUGGUUUUUGAAAGACCUGUUAAUAUGAAGACUCAUUGAACAUUUUGAAUCUUGAAGCGUUUUCCACUUAAGCGCCAUGUAUAUUGUAUUAUGUAUCAUAUUAAGACAGAUUCUAGAAGUGACCUUGUAAUAUGUAUCGUCUUUUUGAUAAACAUUGCUAUUUAAAAUCUGUGUAUCCAUAUUAAUAUUAAAAAAUAGUUUUAGGACAUGUACUUACCAAUAUAUAUCGUGUUUCUAGUUUCUUAGAAAAAACAUUUAUGAAGGUAUGUUAGCAAUGCAAAUAAAGGUAGGGAAAAACUUUAUAAGAACUAUCACACCAAACUUAAAAAAUGUUUUUGUGUAUUUUACUAAAUUUUGUUUAUAGUGAAGGUCAUUUUGACUUAAUAUUGUUCUUUUUUUUCUCAUUUUUUCAAAUGUAGUUCAUCAUGGCAGCAUAAUAGUCCAUCACAUUACUUUACCAUAAUUAAAUUGGCCAUUUGCCUUGUGGUGAACUGAAAAGAACUGGAACUAUUUUUAGGUUACAAGUGGUGUUUCAAUGAGUCUUUUAUACUUGUAGUUUUUUCUUCCUCCCUUCCUUCCCUUUUUUGUGGGAGGUGGGAGGGUAGGAUUGACUUAGAAAUGUUAUAGCUGGGUCCCAGAUUAUCAGCUGUUUUGACUCUUAAAGCGUAAGUGCCUUUCGAAAGACUCUGGUAGUGGGAUUGCCAGAGGCAAUGUGUAAGUAAGGUGGUUCUGUCAUUUGCUGACAACAGAUAUAAUGGGUAUUCAUUUUAUUAUUAUUUGUCUUUUUAGGGUCUUUUUAGGGCCGCACCCAUGGUAGAUGGAGAUUCCCAGGCCUGGGGUCCAGUUGGAACUGUAGCUGCCAGCUACAGCCACAGCCACGCCUGAUCCAAGCCACAUCUGUGACGUACACCACAGCUCAUGGCACCAACAGAUCCUUAACCCACUGAGCCAGGCCAGGGAUCGAACCUGCGUCUUCAUGGAUGCUAGUCAGAUUUGUUUCCACUGAGCCACGAUGGGAACUGGGUAUUCAUUUGAAAUUAUUUAAUUUAAUUGAUGCUAAGUGAUACUCCACUUGUUUCUUUGUAAGUGGCAGAUAGGACCUUGUUGCCAUAUACAUUGCUUUUUUUUUUGUUUUUUUUUUUUGUCUUUUUGCCUUUUCUAGGGCCUCUCUUGUGGCAUAUGGAGUUCCCAGGCAAGGGGUCGAAUCGGAGCUGUAGCUGCUGGCCUGCACCAGAGCCACAGCAACGCAGGAUCUGAGCCAUGUCUGUGACCUACACCACAGCUCACAGCAAUGCCGGGUCCUUAACCCACUGAGCAAGGCCAGGGAUUGAACCCGCAACCUCAUGGUUCCUAGUCGGAUUCGCUUACCACUGCACCACAAGAGGAACUCCUAUAUAUACGUUGUUUCUGAUUGAAGUUGAUGGUCCUGUCUUGUAAUUUUCUGGGAUUAGUUGUACUGUUAUAAUAAAGCAUGUAUUGUGAGAACUAAUUGAAAGAAAAAACUCUUUAAUGCAGCCUGUUGACUUUUUAUGUGAUGAAUUGGUAUGCAGUUAGUUAUAGGAAAAGUCUUUGAAGUUAAAAGUAACGUAAAAAAUGUAUUUUCAGCUUAUAGAUCCAAUUGCUGAUUCUUUGAUUUAAUGUAACAUUUGCUUUCAGCUCUUUCUCUCUACAGCCCCAGUCACCAAAUGUAGACUUUGAAACCAUUUUGGUUUUAUGAGAAUUUAAAAAUAGCCUCAGGGGAUCUUUAUCUUGAGUUUUUACUAUUAGGGCCAACUACUGGGUCUCUCUCCUUAGCUUGCUCUCUUUUACCUAAUUUGUAGGAGAACAGAUCUUGGUAUUUACUCUCAGUGCCCCCCCCCUCCUCCCCAAGCGCCCCAAGUCAACACGGAGGUGCGAUGGAUGAAUAGACUCAAGGGAGUAUGGGAAUUUCCCUGAGAUAUGUAAUGAGAUGGAAAAAAAACGAGGCCAUGGCGGGAACCAAAGAGACAGAGAGAGAACAAAAAAAUUAGAAGGAGAUUAGAGAGAAAGACAUGGACUUACAGAUGGAACUAGAUUUGAAUUUUCAUUGCCUUCAAAUUUCUUCACAGACUUUUCUGUAAGCCUUAAGAUAGGCUAUCCUUUGGAUUUUUUUGUGAUGCAGUUGAUUUGUAUUUUUGGUCAAACUAAUUCUGCAUCUCUUUCCUCUGCUCUUUUUUCUUUUCUUUUCCAAUUCUUUAUUUUUAGGAAAUGCCCUGUCAGACCUUCUGGUUCUUUCUGUCCUGCUGUCCCUGCUCCGUCAGGCCUGCAGCUCCCCUUCCGUGUGAAUUUGCACUUCAGGGGCACCAUUUCCUGUCAGAAACCAAAGGCAGGCCCCUGACGUUUCUAAGUGGCGAUUCACACAGGAAAGGACCUGAAAAGCUGCAUGGGGCACGUGACUUCACUGUGGGAUGGGCUGAUCAGCUUAGAGCACAAAGGGGUCCUGCCUCUCCUGUACCUUUUGGCCUCCCAUGGGUCCGAGUGGCUGGAAAAUUGAAAACCCGAUGUAACCAUACCCUGGAAUAUAAAUUGUAGAAGAUUAGAUUUGCUGUUCAGGUUCACCUGGAUUGAUAGCAGGGUGAAUGGUUCAGGUAGUUGACUCCAAGUAAAGUAAUUUUUGUUGUCAUGGUAAUAAAAUAUACUUAACAUAAACUUUACCUUUUUAACCAUUAAAAGCAGUGUUAUUUGACAAAGUUGUUGCUUUUUACACUGUGCAAACAUUCUUCUAAAUAAGCGAACUUCAAAGAUGCAUAGAACCUGAUUCUUCAACUGCAAAAGUAGUGUUAAACCCAUAUAUUUUCACACAACUGUAUCUAACUUGGGAAUAGGUGCAUGCACAUCUACCUUACAAAGACGAAAACCAUUCCUUCCCUAUUUUAUGAAGAGGAGAACCUCUAAAUAGAACUUCAUUUUUAUUUUUUAAUUGUGGUAAAAUAUAUAUGACAUAAAAUUGACCUUUUGGCUAUUUUUAAGGGUGUAAUUCAAGGUGAUUUUUAUUCAGCAUGUAAUUCCCCUUGAUGCUUAAAUUAUAUAAAGUUUUAUUAUGGGAGUAUAAAGCUAAAAAAGAAGUUGAUUUGCAAAUCUUUUACUUUUUUUGGAAUUGAAGUAACUGAUUUUCUUUCCUCUUCCGCCUUUCUUCAUUUUUUUACACAUAUAUUUUGGUACCUGAACUAUUGCCAAGUUAUUUUAAACCUGUUUUUCCUCUAACAUAGAGAUCUUUUUUUUUUUCUCAAGGUUUUAAAGAAAAUAUUUUUUUUCCCCAUAAGAUGUAUUUGCACUCCGUGUGCACUUACUUACAAUACUUUUAUAAUGAUGGAAAUAUGAAAUUGACAAUGGUGGAUGUGUUUCCUGUUGGCAUGAAUUAUAUUUAUUCAUAAAGUCAAACUUUGAGUAAGGGUACCUAAAAUUCCGGCUGGGAAAAGUUUAGCAAAUGUAAUUUAUUUAAGGAAAUAACCUUGGCAUUCUCUAGAUAAUAUUUUCUUUUUAUCAUAGGGACUCUAUAGGAGUGAUUAUUUAUGGCAGUAAUCAGGUUCAAUGCCUGAAGGACCUACUAGGUCUCUUCAUUUAGCUGUACCUGCAAUCAUUUGAUCAUCUCACCAGAUCCGUCUAAUGCAUCUCAUUCUCUUUAUUGACUGAUGAUGUAAGCUAGAUUACUUUGUAUUUAUGGCAGUGACUAUUUAUAAAAAAACAGAGCAUAAACUUCUAUUAUUUUGAAUUCUCUUUUGUAUCUUUCCUGCUCUGUAUAUGAUAGUAAAUUAUUAUUAUGGGCUAUAUAGACCUCUGGCAAUGAAGUACCAAAACCUUGGCAUUUUCUGAGACUGUUCAUUGCUGUUAUAAAAGUGUGAAAAAAUGAAAUGUCCGCCAUGGAUAACUUACCAGUGUUGAUAGCCAAAUUAGGAGCACAGUUAAGAACCUUCAAAUCGACUUUGAAGCUCCAGCAUAGAUGGGACAUCAAAUAUAUCUGGACACAUCAUCUGUGUGGAUUAGCAACUCCUCGGAAAAUAGAAGUAGUUGGGAAGGAAUGACAUUUGCAUAAAGGCACUUCCUUUUGCCACCUUUGAAUUUUCUUUUUUUUUUUUUAGAAGUAUGGUUUAAUCUUACUGCAUUAUUAAACUGCUUUAAGCUUCUUCUCAAGUAUCACAGCCAAAUUGAAGGAUUUAUUUCCUUGCCUUGUACUCUAAAACACUGCUGUCAAACAGAGUGAGGAAAGGCAAGCAAUAGAGAUACAGCCCCCUUGUGUUUUCAGUUUAUUUGCAUUUGUUCAUGACUUCUAAGCUAUUUUAAAUUCCCAGAGGAGGUUGCUUGCUCUAUUAUAUAUAAAUUGUUACCUGAAAGGGUCUGUAAGAGAUCAAAGUAAAUGUCAGCCUAGUAAAUAGAAGAGGUUUUUUUUUUCUCUCUGAGCUACAUUAUACAGAGAGAUUUCUUUUGCCUUAUUUAUGUUUAGAACUUAAUGUCGUUAGGAAAACAGUGAGUUAUUAAACUUCGAAAAGCAUCAGGAGUCUCAAACAUGUGAAAUCCAUUGAAAUCGAAGUAAUCAAUAAAAAUUUGAUUACUUGGAGUUUCUCCCAAUUUCCGACUUUUUAGAGAGGUUUUGUUUUUUCUUCCUUAAUGCAAAAGAACAAAAUUUGGCUAACAUAAAUGAUUUUUCCCAUCUCCUUUAAAAUAGUGUUUACAUGAUCAAUACUAACUUGUUUGCAUUACCAGUUAUUUUCUAGGAUACCGAAGGCCGAAAAAGAUGAUAUCUAUCAGGGGACCAAACUAGUUAUCUAUGGGACAGUCAUUAUGAUCAAAAAGUUUUUGCACUGUAUGCAUCCAUCAUGAGUUCUUGCUCUGUCUUAGCAGGAGUCAAACUGCUGCUACCAUCAUGGGGCUCUUAGUAUAUCACAAAGAAGUUUCGAGGCAUGACAAAAUGACCCACAUACUCUUUGAUUUCUUUGGUUAUUGGAAACAAGACAGCUGUACGGUUGCUAGUGAGCACAAUUAAUAUAUAAACCAUUGGAUGGUUAACCCAAGUACUAAGUCAUGGAAAGUGUAUUAUUUUAUUUUUAGUUUUUAAAAAUUUCUUUAUAGCCGCACUUGUGGCAUAUGGAAGUUCCUGGCUCAGGGACUGAAUCCAGGCCACAGCUGAAACCUAUUCCGCAGGUACAGUCACAUCAGAUCCUUUAACCCACAGCACCAGGCAGGGGAUUACACCCCUGUCUCCAUGGCACCCUGAGCUCUUCUAGUCAGAUUCUUACCCUACCAUGCCAUAGCGGGAACUCUGGAAAGUUUACUAUUUUGGUGAGUAUAUGUUAGGGUGUCCAGCUGGAAAUCAGGAAGUGUUUUCCCUGAAAUAUGAUUGAGUAUGUGCUUGUUAGAGGUGUUUAAUUUUACAAAGCUCAUUUCCUCUAUAAUGCCUACCUGAUGAGAAUGUGAUCCUUCAUUAUAACGCAGUAUAUGAGAGUGUAUCUAUUGGAAAUUUUUUGAAUUCUCUUAUGAAUUUUUAGGAGCAUUGCUGUAAUGGACAGCAAUAUGGAUUUGAAAGUUAUAAGCCAUAGGCAACUUGGUAUUUCAAAGGCUGGCAGUUGGAAGGGGUUUCAUUGCACACGUGGUGAUAAACUCUUGGAUCUUGGAGUCUCUUUUCAGACAUACUUUUUAGGGCCACAUCUGCGGCAUAUGGAAGUUCGAUCCCUGGCCUUGCUCAGCGGGUUAAGGAUCUGGCGUUGCCGUGAGUUGUGGUGUAGGUCACAGACACAGCUCGGAUCCCUCAUUGCUGUGGCUCUGGCGUAGGCCGGCAGCUGCAGCUCCGUUCGACCCCUAGCCUGGGAACCCCAUAUGCCAUGGAAGUGGCCCUAGCAAAGGCAAAAAGACAGAAAAAAAAAAAAA